ncrna:unclassified sequences IS605-orfB-II RNA
CAUGAUGAAACAUAUAAUUACGUAUGUUUUGGAUUGUAUAGUGGGUAGUCGCAGUCACCUCACACCUGUUUAAUAUGAUUUUAAAUAAUCCGCUGUUGAAUAAAAUGAAAACAAAUUCUUUAGAAUUUGGAAAAGUUUAAAAACUUUAAGUUUUUAACUAACUGU